GUUGACCUCAGAUUAGAUAGGGAUACCCGCUGAACUUAAGCAU
rnacentral:rRNA from 1 species